UACGUAGGGGGCAAGCGUUGUCCGGAUUUACUGGGUGUAAAGGGCGCGCAGGUGGGCUUGAUAGUUAGAGGUGAAAUCCUGUGGCUUAACUGCAGAACUGCCUUUAAUACUUCAAGUCUUGAGUGCGGAAGAGAGAGACGGAAUUCCAGGUGUAGUGGUGAAAUACGUAGAUAUCUGGAAGAACACCAGUUGCGAAGGCGGUCUCUUGGUCCGUAACUGACACUUAGGCGCGAAAGCGUGGGGAGCAAACAGG
rnacentral:rRNA from 1 species